rnacentral:rRNA from 1 species
GAGUUUGAUUCUGGCUCAGGAUGAACGCUAGCGGCAGGCUUAACACAUGCAAGUCGAGGGGCAGCAUGACACUUCGGUGUUGAUGGCGACCGGCGCACGGGUGCGUAACGCGUAUAGAACCUACCCAUAACAGGGGGAUAGCCUAAAGAAAUUUGGAUUAAUACCCCAUGGUGUAUUAGUGAGGCAUCUCAUUUUUAUUAAAGAUUUAUCGGUUAUAGAUGGCUAUGCGUUCUAUUAGUUUGUUGGUGGGGUAACGGCUCACCAAGGCUUCGAUAGAUAGGGGUUCUGAGAGGAAUGUCCCCCACACUGGUACUGAGACACGGAUCAGACUCCUACGGGAGGCAGCAGUGAGGAAUAUUGGACAAUGGGCGCAAGCCUGAUCCAGCCAUGCCGCGUGCAGGAAGAAGGCCUUAUGGGUUGUAAACUGCUUUUAUUCACGAGGAAUAAAUCUCUUGCGAGGGAUUUUGACGUUAGUGUUUGAAUAAGCACCGGCUAACUCCGUGCCAGCAGCCGCGGUAAUACGGAGGGUGCAAGCGUUAUUCGGAAUCAUUGGGUUUAAAGGGUUCGUAGGCGGAUUGGUAAGUCAGGGGUGAAAAGCUGCAGCUUAACUGUAGUCGUGCCUUUGAUACUGUCAGUCUUGAGUUAUAUUGAAGUAAGUAGAAUAUGUAGUGUAGCGGUGAAAUGCUUAGAUAUUACAUGGAAUACCGAUUGCGAAGGCAGCUUACUAAGUAUAUACUGACGCUGAUGAACGAAAGCGUGGAGAGCGAAGGGGAUUAGAUACCCCCGUAGUCCACGCUGUAAACGAUGGACACUAGUUGUUGGUAAUUUAUCAGUGACUAAGCGAAAGUAAUAAG